UACGUAGGGUGCGAGCGUUGUCCGGAAUUAUUGGGCGUAAAGAGCUCGUAGGCGGUGUGUCACGUCGAUCGUGAAAACUUACAGCUUAACUGUGAGCGUGCGGUCGAUACGGGCAUCACUGGAGUUCGGCAGGGGAGACUGGAAUUCCUGGUGUAGCCGGUGAAAUGCGCAGAUAUCAGGAGGAACACCGAUUGCGAAGGCAGCUCGCUGGGACGUUACUGACGCUGAGACGCGAAAGCGUGGGGAGCAACAGG
rnacentral:rRNA from 1 species